CAUAGAAGAUACAGAAGACUUCUAACGCCUCAAUCUCAUCUGCGUCUAUUUGUGCGGCGGACGGCGGCGGUGUGUGGGGCGGACGGCGGCGGUGUGUGGGCGGACAGCGGCGGUGUGCGGUGGUCGACGGCGUUCGGUGCUUUGUGGUGGUCGACGGCGUGCGGUGGUUUGUGGUGAUCGACGGUGAAAAAGGCGACAUUUUACUUCAAAUUGACAGAAACCUAUAGAAAACCAUCAUCUUGUUAAGCUCAGUAGCAAUUCAGACAUGAAACUUCUUGAAGAUGAAG